rnacentral:lncRNA from 1 species
GUCUAGGAAAAUAGUUGAAAGUUACAAAAAUACUCCGAGGAUAGCUCAAAACGGAAAGUUCCUAAUCAUAUUGCAAAAUAAAAAGCUCAAACACAUCAAACAACUGACAUACACUAUCAUAUUUCUGACCUGAUACAAUCAUUUUUUGAAGCAAACAUUGUGAUUUAAACCUGGUUUUAUAACUAGCUGAACAGGGAAUUUUUCAAGCACGAUUGUGUUGUCCUUCCUUUAAACUCAUAAAACGUUUUGAAUGAAUAUAAUCAUACCAAUGACCUUAAGCUAAUACUAUUACCCUUCACAUAGAUAUAUGCUUAAAGACAAACAAGUAUUAUAUUCCGUUAUAUUCAAAUUGACAUAAUAGUCAUCAUGGUUCAAUUAAUAAUGGGUUCAAUUUCAAAACAAAA